UACGGGGGGGAGCAAGCGUUGUUCGGAUUUACUGGGCGUAAAGGGCGCGUAGGCGGUCGUGACAAGUCACUUGUGAAAUCUCCGGGCUUAACUCGGAACGGUCAAGUGAUACUGUCGGACUAGAGUACAGAAGGGGCAACUGGAAUUCUCGGUGUAGCGGUGAGAUGCGUAGAUAUCGAGAGGAACACCUGCGGCGAAGGCGGGUUGCUGGGCUGAUACUGACGCUGAGGCGCGAAAGCCAGGGGAGCGAACGGGG
rnacentral:rRNA from 1 species